rnacentral:lncRNA from 1 species
CGUGUGUCACUGGGGUCACUCCACUCUCUGCAUUAGGUCUCAGUCAUCCAAGACCAUCUUUCAAGGGCCGUCACUCCAAUUAUGAGUCUGGGAUUUUCUGAAAUUGAGCAUUUUGGCCAGGCUGUGGGGUCCCUCUAUGACUGCCUGUAAGACACUGCCAAGGGGACUUUCUUCCUUUCACCAGACUGAAGCUAAGAAGUGCUGGAGACAGCAGUUGCUUUAGCCACAGGCUGUGUAGACCACCUGAGGAUGACCUGGGGGUCUGUUUUGUGCACCUUGGAACCCAUCGGAUCCCUCCAAUGACACAUUUGUCCAGAGCAAGACAAGAUCACACUUUGACAGCCCUCUGUCAAGAUCCUUGCUCCAAAUCUCCAGACUAGCAGCCAGGAGUCUCCAUGCUGUUCUGAAGAAGCAGAUUCCUCACCCACCCUUCAACUCCUUCCCAGGAGGUAAUCCUCCUCCAAAUCUCUGGAAAAGAUACACCUCCUCUUCUCUGAUAAAGGCUGGGGGGUGAUGCCCCUCCCCCAGUUUCCCAAUAAAGCUAUGCAAGACAGGAGCAAGGGAUCUCACGGCCUGUUUUUGCUACAAAAACCCUUUUUCGGAAAAAAUAAUAAAGAAAGGAAUCAGCCAAUCCCUC